rfam:Hordeum vulgare subsp. vulgare, WGS project CAJW01000000 data, contig: morex_contig_54013
CUAAUACUCCCUCCGUCCGAAAAUACCUGUCCUAAAAAUGGAUAUAAUGAAUGUAUUUAUAACUAAAAUCAGUCUAGAUUCAUCCAUUUCUAGGACAAGUAUUUCCGGAUGGAGGGAGUACUAA